AUUGCGUACGCCCAAGGCGCUGGGCCUGGAGCAGGAGAAAGGGAGUGGAGGCGCGUCGGAGACUAUGAAGCGCGGCGUUCGGCGGGAUCCUUUCCGGAAGCGGAAGCUCGGCGGGCGGGCCAAGAAGGUCCGGGAGCCCACGGCGGUUAAUUCUUUUUACCGUGAGGCUUCACUUCCCUUGGUCUGGGCUUCUCUGAGGCGGCGAGAGAUGGUCAGGUCUGGAGCUCGACCGGGCCAGCAUCUUCAGAUAAUAAGAAACAGAUACCUAAUGAAGCUUCUGCUAGAAGUGAAAGAGACACAUCAGACCUAGAACAAAACUGGUCAUUGCAAGAUCAUUAUAGAAUGUAUUCACCCAUAAUAUACCAAGCCCUCUGUGAGCACGUGCAGACUCAGAUGUCACUGAUGAAUGACUUGACUUCAAAGAACAUCCCUAAUGGAAUUCCUGCUGUACCAUGCCAUGCUCCCUCUCAUUCUGAAUCUCAGGCAACUCCUCAUUCUAGUUAUGGCUUAUGUACCUCCACUCCAGUCUGGUCACUUCAGCGGCCACCCUGCCCUCCAAAGGUUCAUUCUGAAGUUCAAACUGACGGCG
rnacentral:sRNA from 1 species